CGAGCGGACCUUUCGGGGUCAGCGGCGGACGGGUGAGUAACACGUGGGCAAUCUGCCCGAUACUUUGGGAUAACGCUUGGAAACGAGUGCUAAUACCGGAUGCUCUUCUUGGUCGCAUGGCCGAGAAGGAAAAGACGCGUUCGCGUCGGUGUACGGAUGAGCCCGCGGCGCAUUAGCUAGUUGGUGAGGUAACGGCCCACCAAGGCGACGAUGCGUAGCCGACCUGAGAGGGUGACCGGCCACACUGGGACUGAGACACGGCCCAGACUCCUACGGGAGGCAGCAGUAGGGAAUCUUCCACAAUGGGCGAAAGCCUGAUGGAGUAACGCCGCGUGAGUGAUGAAGGCCUUCGGGUUGUACAACUCUGUCAUUCGGGACGAACCGGAGUCUGAGGAAAUGCAGACUCUCUGACGGUACCGGAGGAGGAAGCCCCGGCUAACUACGUGCCAGCAGCCGCGGUAAUACGUAGGGGGCAAGCGUUGUCCGGAUUCACUGGGCGUAAAGCGCGCGCAGGCGGUGAUGUAAGUCUGAGGUGAAAACCCGAAGCUCAACUUUCGGGACUGCCUUGGAUACUGCGUCACUUGAGGAUAGGAGAGGCAAGGGGAAUUCCACCGUGUAGCGGUGAAAUGCGUAGAGAUGUGGAGGAACACCUGUGGCGAAAGGCGCCUUUGCUGGCCUAUUUCUGACGCUGAGGCGCGAAAGCGUGG
rnacentral:rRNA from 1 species